CAGCUGGCGAGGCUGGCUGCGGGGAGGAAGGGGAGGGAAAUGCAACAGCUCCAUAUUACAAGGUUCCUUAAAGAGCAUCCUGGCAGAGGAAAAUGCUGGCUUUUCAUGAAAUGCACUGCAGGCUGGUCUGAGAGCAGAUGAGAUGAAUGCACAGCAAAAUGUCCAGUGAGCGUGGACACGACUGGGACUCAGAACUGAAACAUAGUUGAGAUUGGAAGGUCUCUGGAAGUCUCCUGGUCCAAACACCCUGCUCCAGCAGGGCCAGUUGCCCAGGACUUUUCCAGAUGGUUUUGAAUAUCUCCAAGGAUGGAUUCCACAGCCUCUGGGCAACCUGCACCGAGUCUCUCAGCCUCUCCUCACAUAAGGGUUCUUUCCCUUGCUUAAUCUUCUCCCCUUUGCUGGACGUUCUCCAGUAGCUCCAUUUCUCUCUUGUACUGGUCAGCCCAGAACGAAAACCUCCAAAACUGCUGAAAAAGGCUGCUGAAGCCCGGGAUUGAACCAGGGACCUUUAGAUCUUCAGUCUAACGCUCUCCCAGCUGAGCUACUUCAGCCCUGUUCUGGCAUGAAUAUUCACCAAAUGUAAUCAUCUUGCAAACCUUUCCAGACAAACCUUGUUGGCAUUAGCUUGUGAGUCAAAGAAGUCAUUUCAGGGAACAGAAUGCAGACAGGCAGGGCUCAAAAAAGAGGCUCUGUGUGUGAGCCUUCGAUAACAGCAUGCCUCUGGGGGAUGUAUGGAAGAGGAGCAGGGAAGCAAACCUUCUGUUCCUGAAGGGCUGAAAGGGGAGUACAUUUACCUUCACAUUACAGAAGGGAUCUGUCACUCACAAAUCAUUGAAAGGAAAGUGAGGAGAUGGAGCUAGGUCUCUAUAAAUGCAAAACUACGGAUGGGGCAGCUGAAUGUCAAAGGACAAGGGUGAUGGAGGAUGAAGAGAAAGGAAAAGUAAUUGUAGAAAGUGCUCACAAAUUACUGUGAAUGGGAAGAGAAUAAAAGAGACUAUCAAAUACAGACUGUUCACUCUGUGUUUCUUGUUUUGAACAGACCCUGUUGUUUCCCUCCUCAGAUCCUAAUUCUUUGUCAUGCUGUUUAGGGUUAGACUUAGAUGUCAGUUGUGCUGGUUAAUUUAACUCUCUUCUGUAGAGUUAGACUUGUCUGCAGUGCCACCUCUGCCCUACGGACCACAACACGCUGCUAAUUAGAGA